rfam:Salmo salar isolate Sally breed double haploid chromosome ssa25, whole genome shotgun sequence.
UUGCUAUUGAUUUAUAAGUCGCUCUGGAUAAGAGCAUCUGCUAAAUGUCUUAAA